GGGCUCCACGUCUUCCCACGCCCCAGUCGGAAAGAAGCAGCAGCCAUUCUGUUGGUCGCGGUGGAGCAUUUUUCCACUGGCACUCCGUGACAGCUGGCUCGGCUACGCGCAGGGGAGACUCGGCAGCUGCUGGAAUGAACUGCUCGCUCCUCAGACACGCAGGCACGGACCGCAGAGCCCGCCGGUGACGUCACAGGUCUCUUUAAUCCAGAGCCAAGCUCACGGUGGAAUAAGUCGACAGGCGCAGAGAGAGAAAGAGAGAAUGGGAGCACCAGGGCCUUCAGCCACUGCAAACGAACGCCAGGAGUCAACGUGAUGACAUCCCCAACUGCCAGGACACUGGAAUCCAUCUGGCCCGGCAGCUGCCCUCAGACUCCGACCCCCUAGAUCACGGAAGUGGGUGCUCCGCUCCCUGAGCCCACUCUGUCUGUGAGCGGCACCUCGUCUGUCAGUAAAUAACUGGGGCUGUGUGGCCACUGAGGCUUCA